CCACACUGUCUCCUCCUGAGACUCAGCGAAGUUGAAAUGUUUGUGAUGAUGCAAUCUCCCCGCGGAAAGACGGAAAGACCCCAUGAACCUUUACUGUAGCUUUGUAUUGGACUUUGAACAGAUCUGUGUAGGAUAGGUGGGAGGCUUUGAAGUGAGGUCGCUAGAUCUCAUGGAGCCAACGUUGAAAUACCACCCUGGUGUGUUUGAGGUUCUAACCUAGGUCCAUUAUCUGGAUCGGGGACAGUGCAUGGUAGGCAGUUUGACUGGGGCGGUCUCCUCCCAAAGCGUAACGGAGGAGUUCGAAGGUACGCUAGUUACGGUCGGACAUCGUGACGAUAGUGCAAUGGCAUAAGCGUGCUUAACUGCGAGACUGACAAGUCGAGCAGAUGCGAAAGCAGGACAUAGUGAUCCGGUGGUUCUGUAUGGAAGGGCCAUCGCUCAACGGAUAAAAGGUACUCUGGGGAUAACAGGCUGAUACCGCCCAAGAGUUCAUAUCGACGGCGGUGUUUGGCACCUCGAUGUCGGCUCAUCUCAUCCUGGGGCUGUAGCCGGUCCCAAGGGUAUGGCUGUUCGCCAUUUAAAGAGGUACGUGAGCUGGGUUUAAAACGUCGUGAGACAGUUUGGUCCCUAUCUUCCGUGGGCGCUGCAGAUUUGAGGAAGCCUGCUCCUAGUACGAGAGGACCGGAGUGGACACACCUCUGGUGUAUCGGUUGUCACGCCAGUGGCAUUGCCGAGUAGCUAAGUGUGGAAGAGAUAACCGCUGAAAGCAUCUAAGCGGGAAACUCGUUUCAAGAUGAGAUCUGCCGGGGCCUUGAGCCCCCUAAAGAGUCGUUCAAGACCAGGACGUUGAUAGGUCAGGUGUGGAAGCGCAGUAAUGCGUUAAGCUAACUGAUACUAAUUGCUCGUGAGGCUUGACCCU
rnacentral:rRNA from 1 species